rnacentral:rRNA from 1 species
AGGGCACCACCAGGAGUGGAGCCUGCGGCUUAAUCUGACUCAACACGGGAAAACUCACCCGGCCCGGACACUGGAAGGAUUGACAGAUUGAGAGCUCUUUCUUGAUUCAGUGGGUGGUGGUGCAUGGCCGUUCUUAGUUGGUGGAGUGAUUUGUCUGGUUAAUUCCGAUAACGAACGAGACUCUAGCCUACUAAAUAGAUCGUCGGCUUACAAACGCCGGCGAGACUUCUUAGAGGGACAGGCGGUGAUUCAACCGCACGAAACAGAGCAAUAACAGGUCUGUGAUGCCCUUAGAUGUCCGGGGCCGCACGCGCGCUACACUGAAGUGAUCAGCGUGCUUUUUCAACCUACUCUGUCAAGAGUGGGGAACCCAAUGAACCUUCUUCGUGAUUGGGAUAGGGGAUUGUAAUUAUUCCCCUUGAACGAGGAAUUCCCAGUAAGCGCGAGUCAUAAGCUCGCGUUGAUUACGUCCCUGCCCUUUGUACACACCGCCCGUCGCUACUACCGAUUGAAUGUUUU